rnacentral:lncRNA from 1 species
UGAAGAAUAAUGUCUUCCUGUAGUAAGAAGGAAACCCACUGAGCAUAGGAAAUUUUCAGUUGUCCUUCCCAAGUUUAAAGAAACAGGAGCAUAGCCAAGGGACAGGGAAAGGCAAGAAAAUGAAUGACAGGCUAGUCACAGCUUAGCCAUGAUGUUUGAGCCUGAGCCAUCUGUCUGCAUGGCACAGAUUCAUCUAUCUGUGCUUUAAGUGAGAUAUUCAACCGAGCUAGUACUCAGUUUUGCCUGGCUUCUGAUGGGAGUAUUUUAGGAAAGGCGCUUUGAAAGAACAUCUGUUACGGCCUUAACCUGACCAGUUGCCUGGCAUCUCGUGUGGAAGGCUUGGUGUUCAGUACAACAGAGGUCAGAGGGGAAGAUCAGCU